rnacentral:rRNA from 1 species
AGAGCGAACGCUGGCGGCAGGCCUAACACAUGCAAGUCGAACGGACUCUUCGGAGUUAGUGGCGGACGGGUGAGUAACACGUGGGAACGUGCCUUUAGGUUCGGAAUAGCUCCUGGAAACGGGUGGUAAUACCGAAUGUGCCCUUCGGGGGAAAGAUUUAUCGCCUUUAGAGCGGCCCGCGUCUGAUUAGCUUGUUGGUGAGGUAAUGGCUCACCAAGGCUACGAUCAGUAGCUGGUCUGAGAGGAUGACCAGCCACAUUGGGACUGAGACACGGCCCAAACUCCUACGGGAGGCAGCAGUGGGGAAUCUGCGCAAUGGGCGAAAGCCUGACGCAGCCAUGCCGCGUGUAUGAUGAAGGUCUUAGGAUUAGUAAAGCUUACUUUAACCGAGUAUAGUAUAAUGAACAGUAGUACGGGAAGAAAUAACGGACCCCGACUUAACCGUCCGUGACCGA